rnacentral:rRNA from 1 species
GUGCCAGCAGCCGCGGUAAUACGGAGGGGGCGAGCGUUAUUCGGAAUUAUUGGGCGUAAAGGGCGCGUAGGUGGCCCUGUAAGUCAAAGGUGAAAUCCCUCGGCUCAACCGAGGAAUUGCCCUUGAAACUGCAGGGCUUGAGGCCGGGAGGGGGUAGCGGAAUUCCCAGUGUAGCGGUGAAAUGCGUAGAUACUGGGAGGAACACCGGUGGCGAAGGCGGCUACCUGGACCGGUUCUGACACUGAUGCGCGAAAGCGUGGGUAGCAAACAGGAUUAGAAACCCCCGUAGUCC